rfam:Zunongwangia profunda SM-A87, complete genome.
GGUGGUAGACCCACCGUAGGGGUUGACAGACAGACCCUACAAACCACCUUGUGGUGCUUUAUUUCGAAAGAAUGAGGUGCUGAGCGACAAGGAAAAGGCGAGAGAAUACUCGUCAGGU